AGAUUCAGCAGCAUCAUGCAAAGAGCACAUCAGGAGCUAUUAUUUUAUUCUGCCCAUCACUGUGAUCUGUGAUGGUACUGCAUUCAUCAUGGUGACUGGAGUUCUCCUUGGAUGCAUCCUGAGAAAAACACAUUCCAGAGAAGAUACCGGGUCAGGAGUGUCUGGGUUAUCUGUUUGUGAACCCCCCUGCUCUUUGGACCCAGAUGACUCCUACACAAGCCUUCAGCUGCCAGCAAAUGAUCUCUAUCAAACUAUCUCCUCAGUGCAACAUCAACAUGACAUGAAGAGAAAUUCAGCCAGCAAGAUCAUAGUGACUGCACAUCGGGAUAAUCAGGAAACAGAUGGAAGAGAGACUGAUCCAAGUUGCAAAAUCUAUGAAAACAUUUAAUUAAUAACAGGAGUAAGACAAUCUGGAGUUUUAGCACUAAAAAAUGUUUCUGUUAAACCUGGUCUGCACAUGAGCAGAAGUGGGAACACUGCUGUGAGUUUGACACCAGUUGUGAGGUCCAGUGAUGACGAUAACUGGCAGAGGUCACCAAAAUCAAACACUAGAAAGUAAGAGUUAACUGGUAUGUAAAUGCUCAAAUCACAUUAUGUCUUACUGGAACUUAACAUCAGGCUACAAGCUGUGUUUUGCUGCCCUCUCUGGUUAAAGGUUUCAAGCUUGUUUCACCUCUGACCAAAGACAAUAUUUCAGGGGAUGUUAAGUCACCCUUUCAUUU